rnacentral:rRNA from 1 species
UGUGGGCAUCACAUCACCACCCGGUGAACACAUUCAACCUCAUUUGAUUUUGGAAGCGAAGGAGAGUUGGACCUAGUAAGUACUUGGAUGGGAAACCCCCCCCCCCGAAUGCCAGGGAUUUCCAAGG